AUGUCUUAAAAUAAUAUAAAUUUUAACAUUAUAACGCUCUAAAACGUUUUCUAAAAAUGUUUCUUAAAAUAAUUUCUACAGCCCGGCAUGUGCACGCCCCAUGAUACCUAAGGUUAAUGGGGGGGACAUGUGAGAAAUGUGUUUCUUAGAAGAGGAUGUUUAUCAGUUGGGGUAUAAGAACCAGCAGUAAUAUGGGAAGUUUUGGCUGGAUUCCUAUUCUUUCAGUCUCGCUUUAUCGACUAACUUGUCAGAAUGGAUCGCACCGAUCAAUUUAAACAGUCUGAAGACAGUUUAUUUACAGAUUUAACACUGCUCGAUUUCAUAGACGACGAGGAGGACUUCACACAUUACAGCGGUAUGUAUAUCUGGUUUAUUGUGAGAUAAAAUUACAACGUCACGGUGCAUGUCUCAUUUUGACGUGUUGUUAGCUAUAGUUGCAAAACCUUGUAUAAUAUUUGUAUACUAUGCAAUAUUGAAUUAUUAUAAUGGAAUUACCAGGGAGUUAUUCCGUAAUGUGGCCGUGACUGCGUGUAUCCAUUCCUUUCCAUUAGAUGCACCGAAAACAACAACUGUAAAAAGACCAGUUACGACAACACACCGCAACGCAGGUCACUUCCCGCACAGAGCAAGCAGCUGCCAAGUCAGACCAGGGAUUAACCCAGCCCAGCUCUGUCUUCUCAGCAGGAAGUUUAAACUCAUCAAGGACUUUUGGCCAAUGGAUCUCUGAGGAUAAAACUUUAUUCACAUUGUAAUCCUUGAGAAUUAGCUAUCAUUAUAGCUACUGCUAUUAUUCCAAAUAUGUUUGAAGUUUAUGUCACAAUAAUAAAUGCAUAUUUACUUGUAUUUGAUCAUAUGAACGUGAUGUGAUAAAACAGUAUGGGACUGAUAAACCUUAAGAGGUAAACUAUAACAUUUAUAGUUUAUGUUGAUGUUUUUGGUGUUAUAUCACUAAAUUGUAUAUUGUAUAUAUAGAAUCGAUGUGAGACUGUAAAUGAUUAUGUUUUAUUGAUUCCUAAUAAACAUCAAGUACAAUUGUAAUUUACUGUUACAAUUUCUAAUUGUUACUUUGGUAACAUUGUCUGAUUGCUAUGCUGGAUUAUCCAUCAUUAGGGAGUUG
rnacentral:lncRNA from 1 species